UACGUAGGGGCCAAGCGUUGUCCGGAUUUAUUGGGCGUAAAGAGCUCGCAGGCGGUUCGGCAAGUCAGCUGUGAAAUCUCCACGCUCAACGUGGAGGGGUCAGCUGAUACUGCUGUGACUCGAGUCCGGUAGGGGAGUGUGGAAUUCCCGGUGUAGCGGUGAAAUGCGCAGAUAUCGGGAGGAACACCAGUAGCGAAGGCAGGUCUCUGGGCCACUACUGACGCUGAGACGCGAAAGCGUGGGGAGCGAACCGG
rnacentral:rRNA from 1 species